CAAAGAAUAGGCAAGAGGGCCAACCAUGGAGAAUAUAAGACCCUUAAUUAUUUCUAUAACUAUGCUAUUUUGUUUGUCUUUAUCUGUCUGUGCAUGUUUUUUAGCAUAAAGUACUCUGCAGCCACUUAGUGUAGACACCAGGUGAGGCCACACACAUAGAUUCCUGUUGAACAAUGUCUCUUUAACUACCUUUUUUUCUCAAUAAGUCUCUCUCCUUCACUUCAUCCCUCUCUCCUCUUCUCCCUAAAUCCUCUAGGUGAACCCCUCCCGCAUCUGAACUGGCUACAUCGAGGGCACAGCAUGAUCAGAGGUAUGUUUUGACGUGAGAGAGGGUGCCAACCCCCAGUCCUGUCAUCGCCACCUUACCCGCUCUUAAGAUAACCUUUGGACCGACUGGGAGCAAAAGGCUGCUCUAUCGCCACAUCCUCUUUCUUCCUCUGUUUUUAUAAUGGAGACCAG